CGGGGUUUAGCGCAGUUGGUAGCGCGCGUGCUUUGGGAGCAUGAGGCCGGGAGUUCGAGUCUCCCAACUCCGACCA
rnacentral:tRNA from 1 species